rnacentral:rRNA from 1 species
UACAGAGGUGGCAAGCGUUGUUCGGAAUUACUGGGCGUAAAGGGCGCGUAGGCGGCCAACUAAGUCAUACGUGAAAUCCCUCAGCUUAACUGGGGAACUGCGUGUGAUACUGGAUGGCUUGGAUUUGGGAGAGGGAUGCGGAAUUCCAGGUGUAGCGGUGAAAUGCGUAGAUAUCUGGAGGAACACCGGUGGCGAAGGCGGCAUCCUGGACCAAUAUUGACGCUGAGGAGCGAAAGCCAGGGGAGCAAACGGG